rnacentral:lncRNA from 1 species
CCACAGUCAGUGCUCACAGUCAAGUUCUCAUGCUGUCAUCCCUUCACGACAUGACUUGCAGAUGGUCUGCAGCAGAUGAGCCUGUUUUGGGUAACAUCUAAGUUGCUGAGGUCUGGAGUGUGCAGCUGUUCCUCUUCUUCAGUAGUCACCUGGAUUUUAUUUCCCUGCUCUCAAGACUCUGAUGAGUGAAAGAGUCUCGUAUCUUAACUACUUCAGAUGCACACAAGUGUCCAAAACACUUGGUGUACCAGUCUGGCAUGUGACCCCUUAAAUCAAUUCUGCACAUGUAGGUGAGUUUAGAUUUUCC